rnacentral:rRNA from 1 species
GAUGAACGCUGGCGGCGUGCUUAAUACAUGCAAGUCGAGCGAACAGACGCGGCGCUUGCUCCUCUGACGUUAGCGGCGGACGGGUGAGUAACACGUGGAUAACCUACCUAUAAGACUGGGAUAACUUCGGGAAUCCGGCGCUAAUACCGGAUAAUAUAUUGAACCGCAUGGUUCAAUAGUGAAAGACGGUUUUGCUGUCUCUUAUAGAUGGAUCCGCGCCGCAUUAGCUAGUUGGUAAGGUAACGGGUUAUCAAGGCAACCAUGCGUAGCCGACCGGAGAGAGUGGUCGGCCGCACGAGAGGGGAGACGCGGUCCAGGGGCCUGCGGGAGGCAGCAGUAGGGAAUGGUCGGCAGUAGGCGAGAACCUGGCAGAGCAGGGCCACGUGAGAGAUAGAGACCUUCGGAGCGUGAUGAUCGGUUAUGGGGGAAGAACAGAUGUGUAAGGAGCUGAAGACGUCGUGACGGUACCUAAUCAAGAAGCAACGGCUAACUACGUG